rnacentral:tRNA from 1 species
GCUGGGUUACCCAAGCGGCAACGGGGCGUGGCUGUAAACCACGUGGCCUUCGGCCUUCGGGGGUUCGAGUCCCUCACCCAGCACGA